UCCGACUCUACAGAACAAGACGACCUUUAAGCUUUAAGUUUCCCGGAGAAAAUGAGAUGCUGAUGUUGAAGACGACACCACGAAUUUUGGAAGAAUCAAUACGUGAGGGAAGACAGUUCUGGAAACAUUUCAAAAACAGAUCAACUGAAAGUAAUAGGAGGAUGAUGUUCAAACUAUCACUGAUCGGCCUGCUCUUCAGGUUUGUUAACAUUCUGGGAACAAACUUCAACAUCAACAACCUCAAAUUCUAUGGCAGUAUCCAAUCCUGCGUCAAGCCUGAAUCCCGGGACCAGACCUAAUCCCAGGACAAGCACCAAUCCCAGAAUGAACCCCAAUCCUGGGACAAGCCCAGAUCUCAAAAUGACCUCAGUCCCAAGAUGACUCCAAAUUCCAAGACAAGUCUGAAUAGAGCA
rnacentral:sRNA from 1 species